UGCACUUUUUGGUAAGAAGAUGUUAACGAAAGUUGUUCAUCUUGAUGAGGGCUACAACUUUGCUUAAUAUCCUUUUAACAAAUUAUGCGUAUUUAAGGAGAUAGGGCUGUGCAUGCGCAGAACGUAUCUCCUUACCUUUGCACCUUUUGGUAAGAAGAUGUUAACGAAAGUUGUUCGUCUUGAUGAGGGCUACAACUUUGCUUAAUAUCCUUUUAACAAAUUAUGCG
rnacentral:miRNA from 1 species